rnacentral:lncRNA from 1 species
AAGAGGUCCGGUUUCUUGAAGCAGCUGGAAGUCCUGGAUAGUUCCCACCUGAAAGUCUGUUUGCAAAGGCAAUGCGCACUCAGGCACCAGAGGGCAGAGGGGCUCAAGUUCCAGGGUUUUAAGGUGCUUGGAACUCCCAGGAGCCUGGCAAACCUUCAUCCAGAACCUCUUCCUCAAGCAAGACAAAAAGCUGCUAAGCACUGCUCCCUCCGUCUCUGUGAAGAGACCAGCUUCUAACAGACGGUGCCGGGCUGACCCCCCAUCAUGCCAGGCUGGCUCACCCUCCCCACACUCUGCCGCUUCCUUCUUUGGGCCUUCACCAUCUUCCACAAAGCCCAAGGAGACCCAGCUACAAGGUGCGCUGGAGCAAGGUGGAGCCUGGGGAGCUCCGGGAAACGCUGAUCCUCAUCACCAACGGACUGCACGCCCGGGGGUAUGGGCCCCUGGGAGGGCGCGCCAGGAUGCGGAGGGGGCAUCGACUAGACGCCUCCCUGGUCAUCGCGGGCGUGCGCCUGGAGGACGAGGGCCGGUACCGCUGCGAGCUCAUCAACGGCAUCGAGGACGAGAGCGUGGCGCUGACCUUGAGCUUGGAGGUUCAAUUACUACGAGGCGAAGCAGGCGUGCGAGGAGCAGGACGGACGCCUGGCCACCUACUCCCAGCUCUACCAGGCUUGGACCGAGGGUCUGGACUGGUGUAACGCGGGCUGGCUGCUCGAGGGCUCCGUGCGCUACCCUGUGCUCACCGCACGCGCCCCGUGCGGCGGCCGAGGCCGGCCCGGGAUCCGCAGCUACGGACCCCGCGACCGGAUGCGCGACCGCUACGACGCCUUCUGCUUCACCUCCGCGCUGGCGGGCCAAGUGUUCUUCGUGCCCGGGCGGCUGACGCUGUCUGAAGCCCA